rnacentral:lncRNA from 1 species
CUCUGUUGGGUAUGUGCAAAGUUGAGCUGUUGAUGCAGUGUUAAGGGUUGAAUUGAUUGAUUAAUUGAUUUGAAUUUUUAACGUAAAAUCUGUUUGGUUGUAUGUUUUAUUCUUUCGUUGGUUGGACUACUUUUCGGAUUCAAUAAUAUAAGAAUUUAUUAGGUUCCUAAUCCAGAACCUCGUCGACCAGACCAGAACCACCAUCGGAGGGAAUCGAAUUGGAAAGAUGAACUUGAGAAUAUACUAUAGAAAUUGGCAACGAGGUUGUGGUAGUGGACAGGACGAAGACGAAGAUGGAAGGAAGGAGACGAUGUCAGUGCGGGAGAAAAUGAGGUGGCACAUUAUCACCGUUAGUCACAUCAGUUAGUUUUUAACAGUGUCAGUUUUGAAGGACUAAAAUCAAAGUUUCCUUAAGUAGCAGGACUAAAAUGUAUCUUACUUUGAAAGAUGGACUAAAACCAAAAUCGCUUGAUAGUAUAGGGACUAAAAACAUAUUUAACCCAUAAUUGUAAGAUCC